AGUUUUGCACAGUGGCAGUAUCGUAGCCAAUGAGGUUUAUCUGAGGUGCGAUUACUGCUAAUUGAAAACUUUUCCCAAUAAAA
rnacentral:snRNA from 1 species